CUUAACACAUGCAAGUCGAACGGUAACGCCCCUUCGGGGGUACACGAGUGGCGAACGGGUGAGUAACACGUGGGUGAUCUGCCCUGCACUCUGGGAUAAGCCUGGGAAACUGGGUCUAAUAGCGGAUAUGAGCUCCUGUCGCAUGGCGGGGGUUGGAAAGGUUUACUGGUGCAGGAUGGGCCCGCGGCCUAUCAGCUUGUUGGUGGGGUAAUGGCCUACCAAGGCGACGACGGGUAGCCGGCCUGAGAGGGCGACCGGCCACACUGGGACUGAAACACGGCCCAGACUCCUACGGGAGGCAGCAGUGGGGAAUAUUGCACAAUGGGCGAAAGCCUGAUGCAGCGACGCCGCGUGAGGGAUGACGGCCUUCGGGUUGUAAACCUCUUUCAGCAGGGACGAAGCGAGAGUGACGGUACCUGCAGAAGAAGCACCGGCCAACUACGUGCCAGCAGCCGCGGUAAUACGUAGGGUGCGAGCGUUGUCCGGAAUUACUGGGCGUAAAGAGCUCGUAGGCGGUUUGUCGCGUCGUCCGUGAAAACUUGGGGCUCAACCCCAAGCUUGCGGGCGAUACGGGCAGACUUGAGUACUGCAGGGGAGACUGGAAUUCCUGGUGUAGCGGUGAAAUGCGCAGAUAUCAGGAGGAACACCGGUGGCGAAGGCGGGUCUCUGGGCAGUAACUGACGCUGAGGACCGAAAGCGUGAGUAGCGAACAGGAUUAGAUACCCUGGUAGUCCACGCCGUAAACGGUGGGCGCUAGCUGUGGGUUUCAUUCCACGGAAUCCGUGCCGUAGCUAACGCAUUAAGCGCCCCGCCUGGGGAGUACAGCCGCAAGGCUAAGACUCAAAGGACUUGACGGGAGCCCGCACAUGCGUCGGAGCGUGUGCAUUAAUUCGAUGCAGCGCGUAGAAUCAUUACGUGGCUUUGACAUAUACCGUAAAGACGUAUAGAUACGGGAGCACU
rnacentral:rRNA from 2 species